rnacentral:rRNA from 1 species
CNUGCAGUCGAACGAUGAACCUCUUNCGGGAGGGGAUUAGUGGCGAACGGGUGAGUAACACGUGNNNANUCUGCCCUUCACUCUGGGACAAGCCCUGGAAACGGGGUCUAAUACCGGAUAUGACACGGGAUCGCAUGAUCUCCGUGUGGAAAGCUCCGGCGGUGAAGGAUGAGCCCGCGGCCUAUCAGCUUGUUGGUGGGGUGAUGGCCUACCAAGGCGACGACGGGUAGCCGGCCUGAGAGGGCGACCGGCCACACUGGGACUGAGACACGGCCCAGACUCNUACGGGAGGCAGCAGUGGGGAAUAUUGCACAAUGGGCGAAAGCCUGAUGCAGCGACGCCGCGUGAGGGAUGACGGCCUUCGGGUUGUAAACCUCUUUCAGCAGGGAAGAAGCGAGAGUGACGGUACCUGCAGAAGAAGCGCCGGCUAACUACGUGCCAGCAGCCGCGGUAAUACGUAGGGCGCAAGCGUUGUCCGGAAUUAUUGGGCGUAAAGAGCUCGUAGGCGGCUUGUCACGUCGGAUGUGAAAGCCCGGGGCUUAACCCCGGGUCUGCAUUCGAUACGGGCAGGCUAGAGUUCGGUAGGGGAGAUCGGAAUUCCUGGUGUAGCGGUGAAAUGCGCAGAUAUCAGGAGGAACACCGGUGGCGAAGGCGGAUCUCUGGGCCGAUACUGACGCUGAGGAGCGAAAGCGUGGGGAGCGAACAGGAUUAGAUACCCUGGUAGUCCACGCCGUAANCGUUGGGAACUAGGUGUGGGCGACAUUCCACGUCGUCCGUGCCGCAGCUAACGCAUUAAGUUCCCCGCCUGGGGAGUACGGCCGCAAGGCUAAAACUCAANGGAAUUGACGGGGGCCCGCACAAGCAGCGGAGCAUGUGGCUUAANUUCGACGCAACGCGAAGAAACCUUACCAAGGCUUGACAUACGCCGGAAAAACCCUGGANNNNGGGUCCCCCCUUNGGNNCC